UUGAACAACCUUAGCGAUGGAUGUCUUGGUUCCUACGGCGAAGAAGGCCGCAAUCAAACGCGAUAC